rnacentral:misc_RNA from 1 species
GAACUGCGAUAAGUAAUGUGAAUUGCAGAAUUCAGUGAAUCAUCGAGUCUUUGAACGCACAUUGCGCCCCCUGGCAUUCCGGGGGGCAUGCCUGUCCGAGCGUCAUUGCUGCCCUCAAGCCCGGCUUGUGUGUUGGGUCGUCGUCCCCCCCGGGGGACGGGCCCGAAAGGCAGCGGCGGCACCGUGUCCGGUCCUCGAGCGUAUGGUGCUUUGUCACCCGCUCGAUUAGGGCCGGCCGGGCGCCAGCCGGCGUCUCCAACCUUAUUUUUCUCAGGUUGACCUCGGAUCAGGUAGGGAUACCCGCUGAACUUAAGC